rfam:Triticum aestivum genome assembly, contig: Triticum_aestivum_CS42_TGACv1_scaffold_577918_7BL
GUCAUACUCCCUCCAUCCAGAAAUAUGUGUCGGAGAAAUGCAUAAAAAUGAAUGUAUCUAGAACUAAAAUACGUCUAGGUACAUUCAUUCCUCUGACAAGUAUUUUCGGACGGAGGGAGUAUAAU